rnacentral:tRNA from 2 species
GGGGGUGUAGCUCAGUGGUAGAGCGCGUGCUUAGCAUGCACGAGGUCCUGGGUUCAAUCCCCAGUACCUCCA